GAGAAAUCCCCUCCUAUGUAUCUGCCUACAUUACUAUUUCGAGAGGUUAUAAUUAUCCUACUGCCAAUUUUUGAAUCACAUUCAGGAAGGACAAGUUUUAGAUCAUCCCAAAUUUCAACAUCCCAAAUGUCAUCUAAGAGAAUAACAUACCUUUUUAUUUUCAAGAGUGAUCGUAGGUUGCCCUCCAAGUUAUCUUUCCUUUCCUCUUCCGUCACUCCAACUUGUUUGGCUGUGUCAUGUAAGAUUUCUCCCGCCCUUGGCUGUUGUGAAACAUAGACUAGUCCCGAACACUCAAAUUGAUCACGGACAUGCUUAUAAAGUUUCUUGGCAAGAGUUGUUUUUCCCAAACCGGGCAUGCCAAC